CCAGUGCGCAUCCACGAAGGCGCAGGUCAAAACAAACGGCGCUUCGGCCGCCGGUGGUUGGUGCUACCGGGCAGAAGCCGAAUUUUCCAGCAUCAACAAGUGAAUUGUCCUUUCCGGGGAUGGGACUGCUUAGUCUACCGAUGGCACGGAACCAUCAAAGUUCAGUGUCACGCUUGCUUCCGCCCGGUUCGGAUGUGUUGUCUGAUCUCGCCUGGAAUUCGGUUAAACAGGCGUUACUACAGUUUGGAUGGAAACAGUCUGCCUAGCUGAUGGGAAUAUAAGUGUAUCGGUUCUGACUACUGAAUGAAAUACGGUUGCAACAGGAAAUCCUAAUUUCGGCAGCACGUUAUUGGUGACAUUGUGUGGUCGUGAUUGAUAUAUGAGAUUGUGCUGGCGGUGGAAAACGAAGGCUUACGGAGGAUAAACCAGAAAAUCUUGGAUUACGGAGUAAAUGCGUUGAUUGAAUUCGGCUAUGAUGAAGCAUGAUAUCGGCUCUCUUAUUGGGCUGUCGUUCAAGACAUGCAGUGAGUUUCAUUGAAAUUUUGUCUCGUGGAGUUAAUGGAUAAAUGAAACAAGAAGAGUGUAUGUACCCCCUGGAAUUUCACAAUCCUGUGCCAUUUAUGAUCACAUCGACGGGAUGUAUCCGCGUUUGGUGCAAAGUGUGGAGGUCUAUAGCAACAUGAUCAUUUAAUGGAAUACCGUGUCAAGAGGAUCCUUUCAACGAGUGAAUGAGUGCCAUCGUGAUAUAUUAAAUUUCUCAUCUGCAAAGUGAAUUAUAUUAAAUUCUUGUUUCGUUAUGGUGCUGGGACGGUACAAGUAAUGCCGAGUUUGGAAGUAGUCAUAUAAAUAGCUCAUUACAUUAUCACACACGAUUUUAAAGCAUCCCAAUGUGGAAGAUUAUAUUAGAACAUCUUGAAAAUUUCAGUUAAGUUUGUAUUAAGUGCUUCGAAAUGGGUUACAACGGUAUGCGAAGAUAAGUCAACAAAUCCGGUUGUCAUCGAUUAUGACAUGUGUCGAAAAUAGAAUAACAUAUUCAAUCCCAACCACCAUGCACGGGAAGCAUGAAAUGAAAAUUUCAAUCAACUCAAUCUCGUGUGUUGUUUGUGAGUGAUGUGAUAGGAAGAAAAAAUAAAUCCCAGAAGAAACAAGUGAAUCGAAAAAGUACCACGCGUGGCUGCGGAAGCCAGAUAAGUUCGACCCCUCCCGUUAACCCAUCGGCCAAAAGUCCAAAGGUGGCCCCACCAGCCAUGGACGUGGUCCUGUCCAGGCUGAACAUCAGCUUCGAUAAUGUCACGCUCAGCACCAGCACCAUCCGGCAGGGGCUCAUCGAAGAGUACAGCAACAACAGGAAGGUCGGCGAGCCUGCCUAUCACAUAUUGAUUGUCCUGUACAGCAUACUGAUCAUAUUCGGCGCCACCGGCAACAGCUUGGUGGUGAUGGCCGUGGCCCGGAAACCGCAGAUGCGAACAGCGCGCAACAUGUUCAUCGUUAAUUUGGCCGUUUCGGAUUUACUGCUGUGCCUGGUUACGAUGCCGCUGACGCUGGUGGAAAUUCUCACCAAAUAUUGGCCCAUGGGUCGGCUGCCGUUCCUGUGCAAAUCGAUUGGCACCCUUCAGGCCACCAGCAUCUUCGUGUCGACCAUCUCCAUCACGGCCAUCGCCCUGGACCGGUAUCAAGUAAUUGUCUACCCCACACGCGACAGUCUCCAGCGGAUGGGUGCCAUUGUGAUACUGACGGGCAUCUGGAUAUUCUCGCUGGUUCUGGCCUCGCCGAUGUUCAUCACCAGGCGACUCAUUCACUACGACGUCAACUUGCCCAGCCUAGGGAUCGAGUACAUCUCGUACUGCAUCGAGGACUGGCCGAUGGCACGCGGUCGGGUGUACUAUUCGGUGUUCACCCUGUGCGUCCAGUAUCUCCUGCCAAUUCUGAUAGUGUCGAUAGCUUAUCUACGAAUUUAUCUCAAGCUGAAGCACCGUCUGGUGGUGACGACCACCACCGUGAGCACCAGUGUCAACUCGAAGGACUCACAACCCGUGCGGGAACGGGAACGAGGUCGGCGGAUGCAACGAACCAACUACUUACUGAUAAGUAUAGCCUUAAUCUUCGGAAUCUCGUGGCUUCCAUUGAACCUGUUCAACCUGUUCGCCGACCUGUACCUCAGUGGGAUCACCCAGGAGAUCAUGGUAGCGUACGCCAUCUGCCACAUGAUGGGCAUGAGCUCGGCCUGUUCCAAUCCGCUGCUCUACGGCUGGCUCAACGAUAACUUUCGUAAGGAGUUUAACGAAAUCCUCUGCCGAAAGGAGUCUAGCACACUCGUUGCGAACGGGGCCGGCGGAGGCAAAACCAUCUCGCGAAAGAUUCGAACUACGGGAGCCGCUCCGGAAGUAACGCAGGUGGGCGUCUUGUGUCGACAAACGACCACAACCUCAACCGUAGUAGACUCGGGCGACCAAACCGAGCUUACCGAGCUCAUGCCGUGAUUGGUCGAGUAGUAGAGUGCGUGCACACGUAGCUACGUUUGUCCCCAAUUGUUAGAAGUUCUGCUAGCACUGCAACUACAGUUACUACCGCUACUACCCAGCUACCAGUUGGACCAAGCACAACCCAAACUGGAACGAAAACUCCGAUGAACCGCUGGACGAACAACAGGACCGGAUGAAGCUGUGCAACGGCGACGAGGAUAGCGUUUGAGACUGUGGGAGACUGUGUGUGUGUAUGCACAAGCAAAGCUUGUUCGGGUCGUUGAAGUUGAUACUCGGCGCCAGAAGCAAAUGCAGGGAAACGUGUUUUCCGCGAAUAAACUGAUUAGUGUUAUGGAGUGGAGCAGAUGUGCACAUCUACACUACGCUCGGAGUGUUGAACGCCAACGUGGAAGAUUAUUGCGAUCCAUUCACUAUGUCUGCAGUGUGCUUUCCAAUAUAUCAGUUGCAAGUACUAAAGAUGAUUCGCACAACAAAUACGGUGAGAUGCGGUAAGCCAGUUGCGCCUGAAUGUAUGUAACGAACGAAAGAAAAUGGUGAGUAUGGAGAAUGAGUCGUCUCGUAAGUAGUUGAUCAGCGUUAGGUAUCUGAAAGGCGAAUUCGAGAAUUUAAAAUCAUAGCUCCUAUGAAACAUUAUUGUGCCGAUAUAAUUUUAUGAAGCGUGGUCUGUAGGCCGGGAAAAGUGGAAUAAGGUGCGAGAAAUUGUUUGUGGUUGAAACGGUGAAGCGACUAUCGUAGGAAUGUUAACGAUGUGUGAUACGUUACAAUUAAUAGAAUAACUAUCUAGUACGCUUUAUAAGAAUUUAAUCUUAUUUUGAAUUAAAAGCGAAAGUGGGUUUUCGUACUUUUUCUUGUUUUAUAUCGCGCAUUUAGUUCAUCACUGAACUGUUCACUCAGUCUCCACAAGUGCGAAAACGUUAAUAAAAGUGCGCGAUUGCAUCAAAUCUAGUUGAUGUCUUCAGCGCACUAUUUCUUUGAUUUAUGCUGUAUACAGGGGAUAGACAAAAUGAUCGGGACAGGCAAAAUUAUCACUUUACAAAAAAUGUUCAACUAGCUGUAACUUUUCGAAAAGUGCAUCGAAUAUUCUCAAAUUUUUACUGUAAGUUCUUCAACUAGUUAUGUAUCAGUGGACAAAAUUUGGAAAAGAUCGGACAAUUCUUCACGAAGUUAUAAAGAUUUUUGAAAAAGAUAAAAUUAUCCGAUAGCCAACUUUGAGCUGUUAUACCUCCGGAUUCAAUGAACCGAUUGCAAUGAAAUUUUGACUAUUCAUGACUUAUAUAAUGAACCCUGGAAAACAUUUGACUUAACUUGAAAUUUUUAACAAGCGAAAAAGUUAUAGCGACUUAAUUUUUUUUCACGAUUUUUUACUAAAUUGGUCUAUUUUUAUUAUGCAUCCCAUUACUUUUUCAAUUUAUUGGCGGCUAUGUUGUUACUUUCCCUCAAAACGCAUUUAUAUAUAAGUCAAUUAGAGGAAAACUAAAUGAACUAUAAUUUGCAUCUUGAAUUUUGAAACGAUGUUGAUGUUUUGGAUAAUUUGGUGAUUUAUUAGAAAAAUAAUCUAAUCGUUAUAAUUUUCUUCCGUGUUAAGAAUAUUAAGUUAAGUCAAUGGGUUUUCAUAGCUCAUUAUAUAAGUCAUUAAUGGUCAAAAUUUCAUUACAUUCGGUUCAUUGAAUCCGGAGAUAUAACAGCUCAAAGUUGGCUAUCGGACAAUUUUACCAUUUUCAAAAAUCUUUAUAACUUCGUGAAGAAUUGUCCGAUCUUUUCCAAAUUUUGUCCACUGAUACACAACUAGUUGAAGAACUUACAGUAAAAAUUUGAGAAUAUUUGAUGCACUUUUCGAAUAGUUACAGCUAAUUAAACAUUUUUUGAAAAGUGAAAAUUUUGCCUGUCCCGAUCAUUUUGUCUAUCCCCUGCUAAGUGCUCUGCUUAUUUACGUUUUCACAGUCUUGGAAACUCGUGUGAUAGUCCAGUGGUGCACUAAAUGCGCUAUUAUGAAAGUUCUACUUAACGGUAACGAUAAGGGAGCCUGUAUUGAAAAAAAAGUGCUACGUAUGGCCAUGUUUUCGGAGUCGGCAAAAUCGAUGAGUCGUAGGCCGGUGUCGUUCGUCAGCUGGGGAGCGCUGAACUUUCCAAUCGUCGGUUUGGAUUCCUUCUUCUGGCCUACCUGAGCGUUCAGGUCUCCUGUGAUGAUCUUGACGUCGUGUCUUGGGCAGCGAUCGUACUCGCGUUCGAACUGCGCGUAGAUUGUAUCCUUAUCACUAGUGCAUCCGAAGUGUGGGCUGUGCAUGUUGAUUAUGCUGAAGUUGAAGAAUCGGUUCAUAAUCCUCAUCUUGCUAAUCCGAUCGGUCACGCGCCUCUGCAUAUCGUAACCCAUCACGAUGAAAACUGUUCUCAGAUUACGUGUUUUGCCUGGAUCCUGUCCAACAUACCUCGUGUAACGCUGCGAACUCGCAGUUUUUGAGUAGAUCUACGAGAAUGCGGGUGCUCCCGAUGAAGUUGAAAGACCAGCAGCUCCACGUAUCAAAUUUCCAAUCACAAGUCUUUUUAAUUCGCUGGAGUUGUUGCCGUUGGUCUCGGUUCGUAUGGUAUUUUAGUAUGGGCUGCAGAAAAAUGGAGUGUUCCAAAAAGGCAAGGUUGCGACCAUUCAUUUCCAAAGAUUUACAUUCAUUUGCUAUUAUCUCAUUUCAGAAGCAUGCUAUAGAAAAACAAUGUAUGGAUGAAUUUAACCUUGUAGUUUUAUCUGAAAGUUUGCCGAAUAACAUUAGGGUCGCACACGCAUACCAAAGUCGUGAGCGAGCUGUGAAGGCAACUUUCCACAGCGUGAAUGUAAUUUACAUUCACCGCGUGGAGAGUUGCCUUCACAGCUCGCUCAUGACUUUAGUAUACGUUUGCGACCCCAAUGUUAUUCGGCAAACUUUCAGAUAAAAUUACAAGGUGAAAUUCAUCCAUACAUUGUUUUUCGAUAGCAUGCCUCUGAACUGAGAUAAUAGCAAAUGAAUGUAAAUCUUUGCAAAUGAAUGGUCGCAACCUUGCAAAAAGGUUUCUCCCCACAUGAAAUAUGCUACAUACAGAAUGCUAAUAACACCGGACAUCAACCUCCCUACUUAGGAGGACCAUAUAGUGCAUAGUUGAGCUUAGAGUACUGUAGUAUUCGCGGCAAAAUUCAAACAAAAACUCCCGCUCGCUUCGCGCCGCGUCUAAAACCUCCUUCCGCUACAAAAUUCGAUAACAAACUGACGUUCUAUUCAUUUACGGUCCCCGUUGUCCGGGUCGACGAAUCCCGAGCCAAAGCACCAUCAUCUACCUAUCUCACUCUCUCUUAUCCCUCAUUCUUAUUCCUUUCAUUCACGCGUUAGCCGUGUGAUCAACGAGCCGAUCGCGGACUCGAAUCAGCUACCUUUUCAAAACAGGGGAGUAAGCUGGCUGUCAACUGGGAACAAAUUGCGCCUACCCUCUAUUCAAUUUUAGUACCAUUAGAAGGACGUAACGGCCAACCAAGAAAAUAUCUAUAUUCGUUCGCAAAAUUGAUUUUAACACCGUUUUAUCAUGCUAAAAGCAAGUCAGCAUGUGAUUCAAGCAUAAUCCCACACAUUUUAUUUAGAUUAUAUUGAAAAAUUUAAUUCCGAAAAAAAUCAGUGUUUUGUUUUCGCCAUUAUGAAAUAUUUGCCUCUACUUUCGCUUGUUUUUGUUUUCGUUUUGUUUGGAGUGCGGAAAUCGGUUGAAAAUCGAAAACUCCCAGAGUGGUUCUGGUGCUUUAAUAUGAGGAUAAUUUAACACUACAACUCAAGCAAUUUCGAUAAUUACCUAGAAAACUGAGCAUCAGCACCGAAAGGAAGAGAAAAACGCUAAUGUUUUUAUUAUUGCUGAUGUUUAUAAACAACUAAACAAAAGAUGUUUACAAAUUAGAACCAACAGCAGAUGGCGCGCAGGUGGGCAUGUUUGGGUGGGCGUAGAGGGUAGGAUCUACCACCCCUGUUUCAAAAGCCUCAAGCAGGCUAUGCGAUGUUUAUUUCGCAUGUAGUACACUCAAACAAAAACGCACACAAUACUUAUCGUAAUAAAUCAACAUAAAGUUUUGGUUUUCCACUCAAAUAAUUUAAGUUACUUUAACGAAAUAGCGAGCUAAGAUUUCUUUACCUGGUAUUCACACAAAUAAAAUAUUACUCAAACUUAGUUGAUAUGAACCUUGUUAAUAUAAAAUCUCUUACUUACUACAAGUACUUCCCUGAUACUCAGACGUCGAUCAGUCUCCCUUAACAUGGGGAGCGGAGGCUGUUGUGAGCUGUUUAUCCUGAAGAACAGACGCUCAGGUUUGCAGAAGCAAACUCUCCCUUUCCUGUCAGCUUACGACCAACGUUCCAACCAGGAUUGGUUACCCGAUCUUCCCUAAGGAUGCUCGCAGCCACGCGGAGGUAGGGAAAAAGACUAAUGGGUCUCAAGGGGCUCUGCACUACGCAAAAUACCUAGUCUUUAUCGGGCCAGGCACACCUUCAUAGCCAUUCUGAACAUGUCAGGACGAGCCUCGAGGGUCGCCUUAAUGGCUACUGUCGGAAUACCAUCCAGACCCGGUGCUUUGUUUACCUUGAGCGUCUUCCCUUCCGCUAUGAGAAUCCAUGGUCUUGUGUCGCGACGCGGGAACAUAGCUUCUACGAUCUUCUGCAGCAUCUCAGGGGUGACGAGGCCUUUGUUUUGGCCAUGACUACCCUGUAGGCCUAGGCAUCAUCUCAGAGGGUCGUAUAUGCGCUGAAAAGUUGAUCGAUUGGUUACCCGCUGGUGGUGACCAAUAUAUCAACUUGUCAGCGCAAACCGUCAUUUGGUUCUUCAGAUUUGUGCUCUUGUAUCAGAGUAUGGGGCUGUCC